rnacentral:rRNA from 1 species
UACGUAGGGUCCGAGCGUUGUCCGGAAUUACUGGGCGUAAAGAGCUCGUAGGUGGUUUGUCGCGUUGUUCGUGAAAACUCACAGCUCAACUGUGGGCGUGCGGGCGAUACGGGCAGACUGGAGUACUGCAGGGGAGACUGGAAUUCCUGGUGUAGCGGUGGAAUGCGCAGAUAUCGGGAGGAACACCGGUGGCGAAGGCGGUUCUCUGGGCCUGUACUGACGCUGAGGAGCGAAAGCGUGGGGAGCGAACAGG